AAAUUUAAAGAAUUUGGCGGUGUUUUAGUCUGGUUAGAGGAACCUGUUUUAUAAACGAUACAACACGCAUUAUUUUACUUACUCUGGUAGAUCAGUUUGUAUACCGUCAUUAUAAGAUAAUUUAAGAGAGAAUAUUAUUGAAAUCAUAUUAUUGAGUAUAUUAGAUCAAGGUGCAGCUUAUGAGUAAGUAAACAUGGGUUACAAUAAAAUUUAUUUAAUAUGGAUUAAGUGUUUAAAUGUGCUUAUGAAGGAGGAUUUAAUUGUAAGAAGGGAGUAGUGAGCUUUUCUGAUAAAAGCUCUAAAUUAU
rnacentral:rRNA from 1 species